rnacentral:rRNA from 1 species
GGUCAGGACGAACGCUGGCGGCGUGCCUAAUACAUGCAGGUCGAACGGCUUUCUAUGGAAGCUUGCUUCCACUGAGAAGAUAGUGGCGAACGGGUGAGUAACACGUGGGUAACCUGCCCAUAAGAGGGGGAUAACAUCCGGAAACGGGUGCUAAUACCGCAUAGUUUUCUUGAUCGCAUGAUUGAGAAAGGAAAGACGGCCUUUGUGCUGUCGCUUAUGGAUGGACCCGCGGCGUAUUAGUUAGUUGGUGAGGUAAUGGCUCACCAAGACGAUGAUACGUAGCCGACCUGAGAGGGUGAUCGGCCACAUUGGGACUGAGACACGGCCCAAACUCCUACGGGAGGCAGCAGUAGGGAAUCUUCCGCAAUGGACGAAAGUCUGACGGAGCAACGCCGCGUGAGUGAAAGAAGGUUUUCGGAUCGUAAAACUCUGUUGUCAGAGAAGAACAAGUCGGAGAGUAACUGCUCCAGCCUUGACGGUAUCUGACCAGAAAGCCACGGCUAACUACGUGCCAGCCGCCGC